UACGUAGGGCGCAAGCGUUGUCCGGAAUUAUUGGGCGUAAAGAGCUCGUAGGCGGUCUGUUACGUCCGCUGUGAAAACCCAGGGCUUAACCCUGGGCUUGCAGUGGAUACGGGUAGACUAGAGGCAGGUAGGGGAGAAUGGAAUUCCCGGUGUAGCGGUGAAAUGCGCAGAUAUCAGGAGGAACACCAGCGGCGAAGGCGGCGCUCUGGGCCGGUACUGACGCUGAGGAGCGAAAGCGUGGGGAGCAAACAGG
rnacentral:rRNA from 1 species